AGUCCGACAUUCGAGUUUUAUGUCAAAACUAAAAAUAAACUUUACUUUGCACACGACAAUAUUGUCACAAUUCUUAAAUUUCUUUACAAUUCUCUUUACGACUAUCUAUAAAUCACAAAAAUUUCAAAAAUAUUUCUUUAUAUAUUUUGAUUAUUUUCAUCAGUAAAACAAUGUAUUCAAAAAUUAUGCUGCAUGUGUUACACAAAAUUCGUUCCUCAAAUUCGGCCUCGCACUUGCACUGACACUGGCACUGGUCUCGCUCUGUCCCAAUCUGGUAAAUGCUUCCAGAGAAACGUCAUACAUGCUUAGGGCAUAGCACAGAUUUUCCAUAACAUGAUCGGCGGAAGGCUCCGAAUCGCUUUCAUCGUAACUGGUUCCAACAACGGCUCCAAGACCUAGCAUUGAAGUUGCCUUAUCCAGUCUCAAUCCUCUGAACGAUGUAGCUUCAUCCAUUAUAGUAUUCUUAUAUUCGCCUUGCGAGGACAGCGAAGUGGUGUAAUUUAUGCCUUGGGACGGCAUCGAUGUGCUCUUAUCCUGUCGAUGUGGUACGUUUGAAGUUGGCUCAGUCCGAGAAGACCUGAGCAGUCUAAGCGGCACCAUCCUCAAUGAUUGACCCGUCUGUAUGGACUUAUCCGUGUCAUAAUGUAAAUUUAUCUUGGCCUGAGUCCGUUUCAGCAACAAAACAGGCUGGCGACAAUUCUGCCUAUAGUCCCUUCUUCCAGAUGAACUUCCUGUCAAACUUCCUGUAUCCUCCGAACUUUCGUAUCGCUCAUGACGCACACUUGGACCACAAGACCUUGGAUCCACCUCAACAAUGGUUUUGGUGCGAAUUGAACUUCUUGAAGUAGCAUCCUGCCUGUUCCUUGAGCAAGUCGGUCGUUGCAUCUCGUAUAACCCGGCCUGGUCUUCGGGUUCUAUAGGCACCAUAUAACAACCCAUUACAGGCCUUCGAUUAAGGAAAUAGAUCGACAUUUUUUUUCGAGUGUGAAGCAUUUUAAUCAAAAAUCGCGUUUAAAUUGUCGAAAAAUUUGAUACAAACAAUUUUGUCACUUUGAUUCGUCUUAAAAAUUGGAAAUAAUAUAAAUUAUAAUAAAGUACAAUUAUUAUUUGG